rnacentral:lncRNA from 1 species
AAAAUAUUAAUUCAUUCGUUCACCAUUGUCAGCUUUAUGCUAUGCCUUGUUGAAAAUUGUACUGAAAGAAAUAAUUGACAGUGUUCAUAUUUUUCACAAAGUAUUGUGUUCAUAUUCAUUAAAAGCGGUCUAUUUUGGGUCAUAGAAGAACUUAGCGUCUCAUAUUGGAGACAGAAAACUUGCUGCGUUGUUUUUCAUUUUGCAUUCAAAGACUGCAAUACUUCAUAACGUGUAAUUAUAUACCAAAUUAUUUUAUACCUGAACAUAACUUAAUCGAGGAAGAUUCCAGAAAAAGUUCGAACACAACUUGAGGUUUUUAUUGGAAAAAUUUAUAAAGGUGGUAUCUUGUAUACUAAUUUCCUCAUCAAAGUCACUUUCUGGAUUUACUACGAUACUUCUAUCUUAAGCGAUUUUCGAAUCCAUGUCAAAUUUUUCUGAUUUUGAUAAAACUUUUAUGACACAAAGCAUCCUCGAUAUUACACCUUGCAUUUAUUAUAGAUAGAUCGCUGAAUUUCUUCCUCUUCAGAAUUCGAAAUGAGAAGUUUCCAACACCACUAAAAAAUACAUACGCAAUUGCGUUUCUAGACUACAGUAGAAGUAAAGCUUUGUCUAUCAACCUGCUUCAUGCGUUUCUGUUUCAAACUGCAAUAAAAACAAGUAUUACUACUCAAAAUAUAAA